CACGGGGGGAGCAAGCGUUGUUCGGAAUCACUGGGCGUAAAGGGCGUGUAGGCGGUCAGGUAAGUGGAAUGUGAAAGCCCUCGGCUCACCCGAGGAUCUGCAUUCCAAACUGCCUGGCUUGAGUAUGGGAGAGGAUGAGGGAAUUCCUGGUGUAGCGGUGAAAUGCGUAGAUAUCAGGAGGAACACCGGUGGCGAAGGCGGCAUCCUGGACCGACACUGACACUGAGGAGCGAAAGCCAGGGGAGCAAACGGG
rnacentral:rRNA from 1 species